UCUCCUUGAUCAUACUGAACCUAUGGUUUUCAAAUAAUAUACAUGUCCAACUAAAACCAGACUUAUUAUUGUAUGUGCUAUAUAUGUUGCGUUUUAUUUCAAACUACUUGUAGUAGUUAAUCCUAUCAACAUUGUCAUGCCUUACAUGUCAUCAUGCAAGAUACAUAUCACCAUAGGAAUACAUGUUGUUAAAUAUAUUAACGAUGGACGACGCCUUAAUAUCUAGCAUGCUUAGGAUGGAAUACGUCUCCUCCGAGACGUCGCUUUUAAAACACUUCUCCUCAGAGAUAAGAUUUACUGUUAUCAAUGUUAACUCAUAUACCAUGAAUCCUUGAUGGUUAUGAAUUCCAUGAUAGUUGUGAAAUCCUUGACAUCAUGUGGGAUAUAGUGGGAGAUGUGUAAAAAUGGGUGAAAACUGUUUUGGCGGGGGCAGGUGGAGUAGUACUAUGGACAAGGAUGCUCCGAGGGGCUUGAGUCACCUUUGUGGUGUUCAUUGCUAGAAGAUACCUGCUUUGGCCGGUUAAGGAACGAGUCAUUGCGUCGUCAUGUUUAGCCACCUUCGUGCAACCAUGCGUCAUAAAUGGGCAGGAUUUGACUCUUUUUUCACCGGACUGAGUUGGGCAUAAUACUAGGCGGCUGGGGAGCAGCGAGAAACCAAGUGUCCAUCUGGCCUUUUGUUGAAUAUUUCGGGAGACAGCAUAUCCAAUCAAUCUGGUAUUCUGAACAUGGUCUCUGAUACUUGGGGUGUCUCGUAGAAAAGCCCUACAGGAAAGAUGUUGGAGGAUCUCGAUAUGAUUCGCUCCUCUGCUUGCAACAGUUGGAAGCUGAGCAUAUUGCAUGGGUAAAGUUGUAUAACCUCUGUUGUCGGAGGGUUAACUCCUGUCGCAGGGAUCCUGAGGGACCCCUUUUUAGAGAUUCGGCCGGGGGAUGAUCCUAAACAAGUUUGCUGGAGAAAUAAAUGGAUAUGAAUGCGAUGGCUGGCAGGGGUGGAAUGAUCCAAUGCAGAGAAGAGUAAAUACACUGGUAGUUUAGACAGGUUCGAGCCAUACGGAGGCGUAACACCCUACUCCUGUAUGAAUGCUAUAAAUGUCCUGAGAAUGUCCCUCAAGGAUGUUGCUGGUUACAAGAAUGCAUGUCUAUCCUAGAGCCUGGGGCUCCUUGUUCUUCGGUCUGUGUGAGCUUGUCUUUGCUUGUUCAGAGAUUUUCCCGCUUCUCUCAACCGUUGUCUCCCUUUUUUCGAUUCUCUUUGCUCGUACUGCCGGCUGCUUUAAAUACCCACCAGCAGUAGCGUGUCCCGAAGGGGAGGGCAUGAGUUCCAAUGCACCAUAAAUGGAAAGGACGUCGACAUAGCCUCUGUGCGAAGUGACGGGGGUUGAAAACGCGCCCCGCGUCCGGUCAGCAGGCGUCAUGAUGGCGCUGGCAACGAGCGCCGUGGAGAGGGCCCACCGGGCAGCGGCCGAGCGGCUCGACGUGCCUGCCCUGUCUUGUUCUCUUGCCGCAGCAGCGCGGCAGACGGAACGCCUCGAGUCUUACGACGUUAUCCCGAGGCGCGCCAGAUGGCACGUGACGGGACCCGUGCAUUUAAUGUCCCCACGCCCUUCUGCCAGAAUAUGGCAGGAACUGACACCGAGCGUGGCGGGAGCAGUUGGAAGUGACAGGCCACGCGCGCCCUUAAAUGCGGCCUCGGGCCUUUCACUGGCUGACACCUCAUCUCUGGGCCCCUGUGGGGGCCACUGUCAGGGGGCUUCCUAGGUUGUCGAGGAACCAAGUGCUCGGGGUCACUGUUCACCUCCCCGAGCACUCUCUCCCGUGAAUGCCCUUUGUUGGUCCUCGGGGAACCGAGUGCUCGGGGGCCACUGUUCACCUCCCCGAGCGCUCUCUCCCGGUCCUGACUGUACGGAUUCUUCAGGGAACCGAGUGCUCGGGGGCCGCUGCUCGCAGCCCCGAGCACUCUCUCCCGGAAUUCGGUUCUCCUGGUCGUCGGGGGACUUGGGUGCUCGGGGGUUAUUGUUCACCUCCCCGAGCACCUUCUUCCCGGUUACUUAGUCUUCGUAGUUCAUCGGGAAACCCGGGUACUCGGGGACCACUGACUGUGGCCCCGAACGCCCUCUCCCGGGACUUAGUCUUCUCUACCCCGCGGGAUGGCGCCACGUGGCAGAUCGCUGGCCUGACCUCGGGAUUCGGGGACCCCCGGUUCCUGAUUCACCGACAUCUGCAGAAUGUAAAUAUAUUCGAAUAGUCAUGUCCAUGGUUAUGGAUAUGCGAAAGCAGUAACCCCAAUGACUAGACUCCGGAUGCGUGUGUCUUGAUGAGUGAGUGUGUGGACUAGAUGUCCAUGUGAUGAGGUUCCUAGCUCGAUCCGCCACAAGCUGUGUGGUACUAGAGGUACACCAGAUUUGAUAAAAGGGACUACAGAGUGAGGUGUAGCCACUCAUAGGACCGAAAACCCCUAGAUAAAGCUUGUUACCCAGUUUUAAAACUGUUUUGAAAGCUUUGUUACCAGGUCACCUUCUAAUACGUUGGGGACUUGAGGUGAUACUCAGUACCAACGGAAGAUGCCUGCAAUUGUUACUUUUAAAACUAUUUUAAAAUGCUUUGUUACAUUUAUUAAAAAGGAUUAACAGUAGAGAAUAUAACUGGAUACUUGUAUAAAACUUGCUUUACAUUUAAAACUAUGUCGUAAAGUCUUAUCUUUGAAAUAUCCAUUAUGCAUCUAUCAACCCCUUGAAGUAGUAUAGGACUUGUUGAAUACCUUCCGUACUCAGUCUCGUUGGUUUCAGAUUGUUAAAUUGGAGAUCAACCUCAACCCAGCUGAAGUCAAAGAGAAGAAGUCUAAGGUCGCGUCCGCACCCGAGUUGCCUGUGGCAUUGAGUUGCAUCGUCGUUGCGCUCCGCUGUGCUGUAUGCUCUUCUGCCUGGCUAGUCUGCUGUGGAUUCCUGUUCACUAGACCAUCUUUUUGCUUUUCAGCUACUUGAUCCAGGGACUGAUACAGAAGGCACAGGGGAACCCGGGUUUGGGGUCUUGACAAACUCUAUAAUGAUCAGAAUGGCAAUUUCUUAGCUUGUGUUGAGAUGGUUGCAGAAUUUGACUUUUUGAUGCAAGACCAUCUUAGAUGUAAUCAAAAUAAUGAGAUUCAUUAUCAUUAUCUUA